GAUGAACGCUGGCGGCGUGCCUAAUACAUGCAAGUCGAGCGAACAGACGAGGAGCUUGCUCCUCUGACGUUAGCGGCGGACGGGUGAGUAACACGUGGAUAACCUACCUAUAAGACUGGGAUAACUUCGGGAAACCGGAGCUAAUACCGGAUAAUAUAUUGAACCGCAUGGUUCAAUAGUGAAAUACGGUUUUGCUGUCACUUAUAGAUGGAUCCGCGCCGCAUUAGCUAGUUGGUAAGGUAACGGCUUACCAAGGCAACGAUGCGUAGCCGACCUGAGGGGGUGAUCGGCCACACUGGAACUGAGACACGGUCCAGACUCCUACGGGAGGCAGCAGUAGGGAAUCUUCCGCAAUGGGCGAAAGCCUGACGGAGCAACGCCGCGUGAGUGAUGAAGGUCUUCGGAUCGUAAAACUCUGUUAUUAGGGAAGAACAAAUGUGUAAGUAACUAUGCACGUCUUGACGGUACCUAAUCAGAAAGCCACGGCUAACUACGUG
rnacentral:rRNA from 1 species